CAUGAAGUCGGAAUUGCUAGUAAUCGCGGACCAGCAUGCCGCGGUGAAUACGUUCCCGGGCCUUGUACACACCGCCCGUCACACCAUGGGAGCCGGUAAUACCCGAAGUCAGUAGUCCAACCACGUGAGGACGCUGCCGAAGGUAGGAUUGGCGACUGGGGUGAAGUCGUAACAAGGUACC
rnacentral:rRNA from 1 species